AAAAAGGGUCGGUUGGCUAAAUAUGCCACGCUCGCACUCGUUAGGCGAGUGCUGUAUGGCUAUCAAGACAUAUGGCUGACAUAAUUUGUGGAAACUUCAUGGGUUGGCCCGCUUUGGCCGAUCCACCA